GACGAACGCUGGCGGCAUGCCUAAUACAUGCAAGUCGAGCGAACAGAUGAAGUGCUUGCACUUCUGACGUUAGCGGCGAACGGGUGAGUAACACGUAAGGAAUCUACCUAUAAGCGGGGGAUAACAUUCGGAAACGGGUGCUAAUACCGCAUAAUAUCUUCUUCCGCAUGGAAGAAGAUUGAAAGACGGCUCUGCUGUCACUUAUAGAUGACCUUGCGGUGCAUUAGUUAGUUGGUGGGGUAACGGCCUACCAAGACGAUGAUGCAUAGCCGACCUGAGAGGGUGAUCGGCCACAUUGGGACUGAGACACGGCCCAAACUCCUACGGGAGGCAGCAGUAGGGAAUCUUCCGCAAUGGGCGAAAGGCCUGACGGAGCAAUGCCGCGGUGAGGUGAAGAAGGCC
rnacentral:rRNA from 1 species